rnacentral:rRNA from 1 species
UACGGAGGAUCCGAGCGUUAUCCGGAUUUAUUGGGUUUAAAGGGAGCGUAGGUGGAUUGUUAAGACAGUUGUGAAAGUUUGCGGCUCAACCGUAAAAUUGCAGUUGAAACUGGCAGUCUUGAGUACAGUAGAGGUGGGCGGAAUUCGUGGUGUAGCGGUGAAAUGCUUAGAUAUCACGAAGAACUCCGAUUGCGAAGGCAGCUCACUGGACUGCAACUGACACUGAGGCUCGAAAGUGUGGGUAUCAAACAGG